rnacentral:rRNA from 1 species
GACGAACGCUGGCGGCGCGCUUAACACAUGCAAGUCGAACGGAAAGGCCUGCUUUCCCUUGUGGAUUGCGGGUACUCGAGUGGCGAACGGGUGAGUAACACGUGAGUGAUCUGCCCCCAACUUGGGUAUAAGCCUGGGAAACUGGGUCUAAUUCCCGAUAGGACUGCAGGGUGGUGCCUGUGGUGGAACACGAUUUUCUAGUGGUUGGGGAUGAGCUCGCGGCCUAUCAGCUUGUUGGUGGGGUAAUGGCCUACCAAGGCGGCGACGGGUAGCCGGCCUGGGAGGGUGGACGGCCACAUUGGGACUGAGAUACGGCCCAGACUCCUACGGGAGGCAGCAGUGGGGAAUAUUGGACAAUGGGCGGAAGCCUGAUGCAGCGACGCCGCGUGGGGGAUGACGGCCUUCGGGUUGUAAACUCCUUUCGACCGCGAGGAAGCCGCCUGGUUGGAAGGGUGGUGACGGUAGUGGUAGAAGAAGCACCGGCUAACUACGUG